rnacentral:misc_RNA from 1 species
AUGUUUGUCUUAAGAAUAUGAAAUUUAAUUUUUCUUUUGUUUUUCUCUUUUUCUUUCAUUUUGUUCUUUUCUAGAAUGUUGUUUUUAAAUCUAUCUUACAGUCUAUAUUUAAGAUGGAACAUUUUUUCCUGAGGAUCCACUGAUAUUAAUAUAAUUUUUUUAUUGGACUGAGUAUGUCUAAUAUUUUUAUCUUUUGUCCUCUUUAUUUCUGGUAGAGUUUUUUAUUACUCGGGGGAGUACAUAGAAGGAGAGAUUAAUUUAUCCCGUUUUAUUUUUUUACUAGCCGGCUUUGUAGGCUCUAUAGGUCUAUUAAUUUUUAGCCCAAACUUGAUUAGAAUCUUAUUAGGUUGAGAUGGCCUUGGGUUAGUAUCAUAUUGUUUGGUAAUUUAUUACCAAAAUUAUAAGUCUUUAAAUGCUGGAACUUUAACGGUUUUAUCUAAUCGAGUAGGAGAUGUGUUAAUUUUGUUGGGAAUUGUUUGAAUAAUUAACUUUGGGGAUUGAAGAUUUGUUGCAUGGUUGGGUUCAUCUAACAGACUAAUUUUGGUUAGAGCUUUAAUUGUCUUAGCUUCUUUAACUAAAAGUGCUCAAAUUCCUUUUUCUGCCUGGUUGCCAGCAGCUAUAGCUGCUCCUACUCCAGUUUCUUCUUUAGUUCAUUCUUCUACCUUAGUAACAGCAGGAAUUUACUUGGUAAUUCGGCUCGGAUGAGUUUAUGAUUUUUGAAUAAAUGAACUUUUAAUAAUUCUUUCUGUUUUAACCAUGUUUAUGGCUGGACUUGGAGCUUGCUUUGAAUUUGACCUAAAGAAAAUUAUUGCUUUAUCUACUCUUAGACAAUUAGGCUUAAUAAUAUACAGCUUAUCUUUAGGAUUGGUAAAGGUAGCUCUAUUUCAUUUGUUAAUGCAUACUCUAUUUAAAGCAUUAUUAUUUAUAAGUGCUGGUUGUAUUAUCCACGGUUUUAAAGGUUGACAAGAUAUCCGAAUAAUAGGAAAUAUAAUAAUUUCUUUACCUUUUAUUAGAUCAUGCUUUGUAGUUUCAAAUUUAGCUUUAAGAGGAAUGCCGUUUUUAGCAGGAUUUUACUCAAAAGACAUAAUCUUAGAAUUAUCCCUAAUAGAGGAAUUAAACUUAUUAAGUUUAUUUAUACUAUUCUUGUCUACUGGUUUAACUGUAGCUUAUACUUUUCGCUUAAUUUAUUAUAUAGUACGCCGUGACUAUGUAAUAAGUGGGUCGGGAAAUUUAAGUGAUGGCUGAGGGGUUAUAGUAAAGUCUUGUAUUGGGCUGGUAACUUUUUCUGUGUUUUUUGGAGCUUUAAUCUCUUGAUUAAGAAUAGAUGUAAACUCAAUUAUUCUACCAAAAAGUCUAAAAAAUCUUACUUUAACAGUUUGUAUUUUAGGUUUAAUUUUAGGGUUUUUUAUAUCUCAAUCUUCUUAUACUUUUUCUAAAAUAAAAUUUUCUUUAAUGAUUUGAUUUAGAGGAUCUAUAUGAUUUUUACCUUAUCUAUCUUCUCAACCUAUAACUUAUAUUCCUCUGAAAUUGGGGUCAGAAAUUAUGAAAUUUGGAGACAUAGGCUGACUUGAAUAUCUAGGGGGUCAAGGAAUUAGAAGUUAUAUUAGAAAUAUAUCUUUAAAAAUUCAGAUUAUAAGUAUAAAUUCUUUAAAAGUUUUUAUUUUAAUUUUAUGAAUUCUAGUUAGAGUAUUUAUAUUUUUUUAA